GAUGAACGCUGGCGGCGUGCUUAACACAUGCAAGUCGAACGGACCCAUAUUGAAACCUAGUGAUAUAUGGGUUAGUGGCGGACGGGUGAGUAACGCGUGGGUAACCUGCCUUACACAGGGGGAUAACACUUAGAAAUAGGUGCUAAAACCGCAUAAGCGCACAGCUUCGCAUGAAGCGGUGUGAAAAACUCCGGUGGUGUAAGAUGGACCCGCGUCUGAUUAGCUUGUUGGCGGGGUAACGGCCCACCAAGGCGACGAUCAGUAGCCGGCCUGAGAGGGCGGACGGCCACAUUGGGACUGAGACACGGCCCAG
rnacentral:rRNA from 1 species